rnacentral:rRNA from 1 species
UUCCGGUUGAUCCUGCCGGAUCCUACUGCUAUCGGGAUGAGACUAAAACAUGCUAGUUGUGCGCACCUUAGCUAUGUUGGGAGCGCAGCGAACGGCUCCGUAACACGUUGUCAAUCUAACCUUAGGACGGGAAUAACCCCGGGAAACUGGGGCUAAUACCUGAUAGGCGAAAAAGUCUGGAAUGACUUUUCACUUAAAGAGUUAUAGGAACAUGCUCCUUUAACUGCCUAAGGAUGAGACUGCGUCCGAUCAGGUUGUUGGUGGGGUGAUGGCCUACCAAGCCUAUAACCGGUACGGGCCCUGAGAGGGGGAGCCCGGAGAUGGGAACUGAGACAAGGUCCCAGACCCUAAGGGGUGCAGCAGUUGCGAAACCUCUACAAUACACGAAAGUGUGAUAGGGUUAUCCCGAGUGCCGUCCGAUGAGGAUGGCUUUUCCUUGGUGUAAGAAGCCGGGGGUAAUAAAGGGGGGGCAAGACUGGUGUCAGCCGCCGCGGUAAUACCAGCCCCCUGAGUGGUAGGGAUGAUUAUUUGGCCUAAAGCGUCCGUAGCCGGCUUAGCAAGUCUUUCGUUAAAUCCGGUGACUUAAUCAUCGGGCUGCGAGAGAUACUACUAGGCUUGAGGGCGGGAGAAGUCGACGGUAUUCCGGGGGUAGGGGUAAAAUCCUAUAAUCCUCGGAGGACCACCAGUGGCGAAGGCGGUCGACUAGAACGUGCCUGACGGUGAUGGACGAAAGCUGGGGGAGCAAACCGGAUUAGACACCCGGGUAGUCCCAGCCGUAAACGAUGCGAGCUAGGUGUUGGGGCAGCUACGAGCUGCUCCAGUGCCGCAGAGAAGUCAUUAAGCUCGCCGCCUGGGAAGUACGGUCGCAAGACUGAAACUUAAAGGAAAUGGCGGGGGAGCACACAAGGUGAAGCCUGCGGUUCAAUGGAUCAACGCCGGUAAUC